rnacentral:lncRNA from 1 species
AGUAAUACAACCAUUUAUAGUCCAAAUACUGACAAGGUUACCUUGAGACUUCACAGCAUUUCAAAUUCAUGUGGUCUGCUAAUGGAACACAUUUGAGAUUAUCUAUCACCUUCCAUAAUCUGUAUGAAUGACUUGAUCCGGUUGCUAGCAAUCUGAAAAAUAAAUCUGCAUUGUUCCCUCUUAUGAAGAGUCAGAGGGAACUUCCAAGCAUAAGGAUCCAGAAAUUGGAGUAUGUCAGUGUGCAUGAAGUUACUGGAAAGGUAAUUAGCUAAUGGCAUGUCUCAGUUACUAUCCUGUGCAGACAAGCUGUCUAUCUGAGUCCCAUCUGCCUCAAAGUUGUCAGUUUGUUGCAUCCUUCUAUCGCCAGCAGCUAAACUGCUCAAGUGCUUCCAAUGACCAUACAACUCCUUCACUGCAGCAAGCCAGCCUGAAACUCCUAAACAAUGUGAAGGAGGCAAGGGAGGAGAGAUUAGUCAUACGUCUGAGAAUCAUCUGAUUACACUUCUAUGUGAAGUUUAUGAAAAGACGGAGAGGGGAUAGUCUUAUUCGAAUCUCUUAACUGUGGACAAGCAGAAAUGUAAAGAUCUUCGGACAAGUUUUCUAACAAAAGCUUAUGGAGACAAGAAAAACUUAUCACGAGAAGUCCAGACUUCUCAAUCCAACACGUUCCUGAACGGUAGAGUUUCUAGAGAUUGGAAAGGCUUGAAAGGAGAACCAGGCCCAUAAAACUUAUUACCCACAGAUAGAACUCUAUCUGCGCCUCUAUGAUCAAGUGUCUGAGUGUGGAUAAUUGACGCAGUGAAUGGAAACAAUGUGCAUUAUCUACAACAACGGAUAUCCAGCCUUAUUAGACUUGGGAUCGAUUACCAGUACAAGAUGGUAAUUCUAUACCACCAUAUAACGCAAGUGUGAGCUUUUACAGAUUUUAAGAGUUUGCAACAAUAAGAUGAUAAGAUUUUCUUCCUUUUAUUUGGGUGUGCAGCAGAAUCCAGCAGUCCAUUGCAUAUCUAUCUUAUUAAUGCCAUGCUUAGUUUCCAAACUGGCUACUCUUGCAUCUUCAGUGCGCGCCAUAAAAUAUUUGAAGUUGUUGAAUUGAAAGUUGUCCAUGAAGAUGCACCUAUUCUCUUAACUCCCCUAGUCUGAGCCCAUCUCCAACAUAAAACUUGCCUCCCCUUCGGAGACGCGUCAAAUCCUCUGACAAUAGGAUUCGUGUUGUUUACCGGCUUUCAGCUGUUCUUCUCUUCAUAAUAAUUUUUUACAUGCCUUCUUUCUUUCGUUUUUAUCAUACUUUACAUGUUUUUUUCUGAUAAAAAAAAUGCGUUUGCUUUCUAAAAGUAAACUCGCUUCUUUUUUUAAAGUUAACAUUCGAGUUCAACUCCAAGCCUACUUACUACCAACCAUGUGGGGAUUGGAAGCCAAUUCUGUCUUGUACCAGUGUACUUCUUACCUUUUUUCCAAACCUUUUUUCUCUCAUGCCAGCCUUCAACCCCCUGGCCUAUAACAUGAUAAUCAAAUUCAUAUCUGAAGGUAGACGGAAUUGGGAAAUUCAUCAAUUUUAAACAUCAACGUCUUUUCUCACUUCAGUGACUAAUGAAAUAGAUUGUUCCCCCCCUCCCCUUCUGAAAAAUAUAAGCAAGACAAGAAAGAAGAGAACAUUGAAACGAGACACAUUGAAGAGUCUACCCCUGUGUACUAAUUUCCUCAAUUACAACUCUCAGAGGGUUCUGAAAAUUUUCAGUCAAUACAGUACAAUCAAUUAAUGGAGGAGUAGAACACUCAAUCCUCAAUUGUAAUGGGGAAUACGAACCAAAUAAUCAGCAAGUCUUUGACUCUAGCUCCGUCCCUAGGAAUGCCAUUAAAGCAGCCAGCUCCACAUACGCCUUUUCAAAAGCUUUACACCGAUCCAACGAGGGCAAGAACAGCUGAAAGCCGGUAAACAACACGAAUCCUAUUGUCAGAGGCCCUGAUACCAGCCGUGGCAAUUGCCAUCGGCCACCAAAUCGCUUCUUUAAAGCAAUCUCAGUUAAUAGACACACUCCAUGGAGGAGAAAGAAGCAUGUGAGCUCCCAUGGGGACCUCUGAUCACACCCCACAUAGUAGAAAAGGAUCAGCUCGUGCAUGAGUCCUGACACAAGAAAUGUCCCCAUGAAGGCAGGAAUUAGUGCCCACUUUCUGCCAACAACUAGUGAAGCAAGAUUGCGUGUUGGUUUGUACACGGCAGGUCGUAAAAUAUUUGAAACAAUGAGAUUCCAUCUUCUACCCCAUAAAUCUUGUAAUGAGGUUGAGAGGUAUGGCUUAUGGAUGCCAGACACAAGGCUUAUGGGCACGGGACCCAAGUCUCUUGGGUCUGGCAUGGCUGCAGACCCCAGGUACUUGGGUCUGGGAUGGCCGCCAGACCCAAGUUGCAUGGGUCUGGUAUGGCCGCCAGAUCCAAGGUACUUAAAAUAUUCUCUAUACUUUUAAUAUUUUUUUUACAUUUAAAAAAAAAUUGAUAUUGACCCGUUGCGGAGCACGAGCCAAUAUACUAUUAUAUAAGAAAAAAAGUGAGAAGACAUGUUAUCCUUGUUGGAGGGCGUGUUGUCUACUACAAUUGUUUCAUCAAAACUAUGUGGGUGUUUAAGAAUAUGGUUGUAGUUACUUUUUAAAGUAUCGUUUCAUUCAGAAAUGUAUUAAAAUAAUAUAUAUAUAUCUUUUCAAAAAAGAUUUUUAUGCUGCCUAUAAUUCUAUAAAAUGAAUUUGGUUUUUUCAACACUUUCUCCAACAAAGAAGUGAGAUGCAAAAACAAUUUUAUAAUUUCAUUGAGUUACAUAAAGUACAAAUUCUAUUCUUUGAUUGGUUCGAAUUGCAUUAUAUAUCUGAACAUCACAUUUCAUAUCCUUUUGCAUCCAUCAAACUUGCAUGCCCGGUCACAUCAAGAUCCAAAACCCCUAUAUGGAACCUCACCAGUGGACCAACAGUUGACUCUGAACAUCCACCCUUGAGAAAUAUCCAAAUAACCCACAACAACCAGACUGUAGAUGCAGCUCCCUACAAAUUACCCAGUGAUGACACCUUUUCAAAUACCAAACACAUUAUCAACCAAAAUAACUUUACAAACACCAACCUCAAUACCUUAGGCAAAUAGCUUACCCGACUGGAAAAACAAAUACAAAGAACUACUAUCAGCUUAGUUGACACCAAAACCUCAAUUGACCUGAAACUAAAAAACUAGCAGAUCUUAAGACCUUCUUUUUGGGUGAAGCUCACAAGUUCACUGUAUGUAAGCUGGUCAUAUGGUAUGAUUUUGGCUGUAAAGGUAUCUUUGAUUUUGUUUCUGACCUUUUCUCCUAAGAGAAUAGGUAAGCCUGCAAGGAAUUUUACUUUCCAAAAAGGUUGGUUUGAAUCUUCCCUAAGCAUGACACGGGUAAGGAAGGCGUUUUUAUACCAUUAAAAGUCGCUUAGCUUCUUACAUCUAAGGUUGGAAAGGAGUUCAUCAAAUAAUACAAAACACAACAUAGUACGUGGCGUUGUUAUACCUAAGAAUGAUCUUUAGAUCGAGUCACAGGUUUCCAGCCUAUAUACUGAGUUUGUAGAGAAAGAAGAAAAGAAAACAGGUAACUUUCUGAUGCAAAUGAACAAGGCAAGACCAGCAAUGUCAGGAUCCUUGAUCAAACACAAAGCAUACUUAAUUUGCAAUUAAAGAAAGAUAAAGAAUAUAUGUAAAGAUUCAGAAGUUCAAAGAAAUAAACCUUGAAAUUUGUAUUGAUACAAAGGAUAUGAUAAUUUGCAGGAGAUAUGAGUUACAAUUUUGGGAAUUGGUACAAGAAGGAUAAGAAUUACAGAGGAAUAAUAUGAUUCGUCUGCAGAGAAACUAGAUAUGGAUCAAUCUUGUUCUUUGUUAUCUUGGACUUGUUUAAGAAUCCCACCAUAUCCUAGGUCUGAGGCAUCGGUCUCGACGAUCUUAGGAGCUAACGGGUUAGCCAAAUGGAGGAGAGGAAUGGUUUGGACCUGUUUCUUGAUCUAUUUGACGAGGUUGGUAUGGAGGUCAGACCAAGGAAUCGGGUUGGUUUUUAACCUAUCAUGUAAAGGUUUGGCAAGAUGACUAAUGUUUGGAUAAUAGUCUAAAACAUAAUUAAGACUGCCUAAAAACCUUUGCAACUGGUUUUUAUCAGUAAUCUUAUCAUGGAAUUUAUUUGUAAAAGAUAAAGAUCUCUCUAUGGGUGUUAUAGUACCUUGACAGAUAUAAUAUCCUAGGAAAUGAACACGGGUUUGAAAUAGAGAAAUUUUGGAUUUAGAAACAACUAAACCAUUUUGUUUUGCAGUAUGAAAGAAUGUAUGUAGAUGUUUGAAAUGUUGAUUUAUGGAAUGAGAAAAAUUAAGAACAUCAUCAAUGUAAACAAUGCAGAAUUUUGAAUGUGCAUUGAAAAUGUCAAUGUGUUGUAAAACCAAUAGAUACACCACCUAUGAAGAGAAUUUCAUCUCUAAUUUACAGUUAGAGAUGAACUGUCAAUAUGUUGUAAGUGUGUUUCAGCUCAUCUAUUUAUGUCACUAUUCCAAAAGUAAAUGGUGGGAUUUCUUUGCAGCUGAAUCCAAAAGUUUCAAAUUAGCUGUUACAGAAUGGUUACAAAAGAAUCAAACAGCUCCCAUCAUUGAUCAUCAUCCUCAAUCCAAAUUUCUAGCCCUAAAAGCUCAAACGGCAGCUCUCCUUGCCUCCGCUAGAACUGAGGAAGAAUACCUCCAAAUAGUACAAGACAUUAUACAAAGCCAAGACCGUAAAACAGUCUUGUCUCAAUCCAGAAGCCGAAUUUCAUAUCAAAUUUGGAAAAGAUAAAUGCAUAAUGUAAUUUUUGCAAUAAAUUUUUUUUGUUUGGAAUUGGAUACCUAAUCCAUUUUAAAGCAGAAUUUAAAGGUUUGUAAUUGAUCACAAGUCUUGGUGUGCCUCUUUCAAUCUCAGAGUUUUUAUUUACAUAAAAGGCUGCACACGACCAAGGUGAUCGCGACUUUUGGAUAAGACCUUUAGACUUGAGAUCUUGGAUUUCAAGUCUACAAUGUUGUUCUAAAUCAGCAUUCAUCUGUAUAGGUCUUGCUUUUGUAGGUAUGUGUUUUUAUGAAAAAGUAUCUUCAUAAGGAAGAUCAAUAAUGUGUUGUUUUCUUUUCUAGAAAGCAUUGGGUAAGUCUGAACAGAUUUGUUGUUCAAUCUUACUUUGUAAAUCAGUGAUUUUCUUUUGUAAAACAGAUCACUUUUGUAAUUGUUUCUCAAUGUGACAAAAGGAAACAUGGUUUUGUAAAUAAUGCAAUUGGAAUUGUUUACUAUGAAUUAAUGCGUUUAUAUGAUAUGUAUGGAUAGAGCAUGCUUUGAUCAAAUUUAAAUUCCUAGUCUUAGAUUUUUCUAGAAAUGGGAAAACAAGUUUGAUGCUUUUGAUUUUGGAGGUAAUGCAGUCAUGAUGUGCUUUGUAUGGAGUAAUCAUAUCAAUAAAUAGAGUACCAAGAAUGAUGGUAUGAUUAAUAUCUUUUGUAACAACAAAGAAUGUUUUAAGAGAAAUGCUUUUGUUGAAAACAGAGGCUUGGGUUUUGCCUGCAAUAUGUAAUUUUAAAUUGUUAGCGGUAGAGAGUUUUUCAGAGGUAUUUUGGAAAAAUCGUUUUGGAACUACGCAUUCUUUAAUGCAGUUUAAAUCUACACCUAUGUCAAAUAAGGCAAUAAUAUCUAGUUUGAAAUCGUCUGAAAAAACUAAUGUAAUUUUAAUCAAGUAUUUUUUGGAAGAUAUUUGGGUUAACACAUUCAAGAAAUUGUCAGGAAUAUGUUCAAUGUUUGUAAGUGCAUGAGGUAAUAUAUGAGACUCAAUGUUUUGGUCGUCUGGUUCGGAUUCAGUGUCAGACUGACUUUCAGUUUUGGGCAGAAGAUGUUGUAAUAUGGCAAAGUCUUUCUGUUGGGCUUGUUUUAGGGUUUGUAACUCGGAUUUGAGGGUUUUGAUCUUAGAAUGUAAUUCUGGGAUUGUGACUGUGGUUUUGGAUUUCUUUUUAUUAAGGAUCUUUGUAAGGUCAUAGGUAUUGGUACUGGUGGAGGGUAAUACAGAGCGAUUUGAAGGGUUAGAAGGAAGAUGCUCUGGUUUGUUGAAAUCUUUUAACAGCUUAUCUAAAUAGGUUUUUUGGAGCAUUCACCUAUGAACUAAGGUUCUCUUCUCUCUCUAGGGUCUUUGUAAUUUAUGUCACUAUUCCUACCCAGAUCCCAAUGUAAACAAAUUUAUGUCACCUAUGAAGAGAAGGUUGGAGAUGUGGGAGGUGAUUGUUGUUCAAUGUUUGUAUACACUGGUUUUGGUAUAUUUGUAGUGUAAUCUGCAUGUUGGAAACUUGCAGAAGGGAUAUCUGAUGUAGAGUGUCUAGGUAGGUUUGGAUGAUAUGGAAUGUUAAUGACAGAAGGUAUUUUGGAUAUUCUUCCAAGAUCUACUGUGCUGGAAGAGGAAGAUUCUUCAGAGAAUCUGGAACUUGUAGAAUGACGAUGGAAUGACAAUUUGACUUUACCAUCUGUGUAUUGGGUUAUGUCCUUGAUUUGGACAUUUGGUUAUGGUUGUUGUGGUAUUUCUGGUGGGGUUACUCCUUCAAGGAUCCAAUCAUCUGGAAGGGUUAUAUCUUUCCAUUGGAUAGCUUUUGGAAUGACUGUGUUUGAUCGGGAUAGAUCUGUUUGGAGAAGGAGUGUUUCUCCUUUCUGGGAUUGGUAUUUGUGUUUACUGGUAAAGGCUGAGAACAUGACUUUGUAAUGGAUUUUGAAAAUAAGAGCAACGAGGAUGGAUCCUUCAAGCAUAUUGUAAUUAUGGGUUUUGAUUUAUAGUAUCAUGCUUUGUAAGAUGUUUCUGUCUUUGAGAGAUAUAGUAAUAUUUGGAUAGCAGUCAAAAGAUACUGGACCGCUACAGAGGUUAGACUCAAUAGAACUGAGGAGUGAGUCUUGGAAAUUAUGGAAUCUAGCAUCUCGAAGGACAACCAGAAUGGAGGUGUUUAAACCUUUUUUUGUAAGGGGUUUUAUACUGACUUGGACUAGACCAACAUGAAUAUAUUUGUAGUUUCUAGCUAGGUGUUUUUGCAUGGAUUUUUUGGAGAGGAGUUGAAUGGUCUCAAAAGGUUUUGUAAGCUGAAUAUCUCUUUCUUUAGUUUUAAUUGUAAAUCUAUUUUGAAAAUAUCAUAUUUUGAUUUUUGAUAAAUCUGUAUUUGAGAAAUUUUUGAAAUUUUCCAUUCAUCAAUGUUUUUUUGUAAAAUCUUCAAUGGUUAUUUUCUCACUUUGUACAAUCCUCUUAUUCUCGGAGGUUUCAGAUGUAGAAGAAGCCGAAACAGAAGUAGAUCUAUAAAAAACAGAAUCCAUAGUUUGAAAAGAUAAUUUAGAAAACAGGCUGCAAGUUAUAUGGGUUUACUGCCCUAAUCACUCAACGAGACUUACACCAUUUAGUAGCAUUCACUUAUUAACUAAGGUUCUCUUCUCUCUCUAGGGUCUUUAUAAUUUAUGUCACUAUUCCUACCCAGAUCCCAAUAGGCUAUGAUACCAAUAGAUACACUACCAUGUGUUGUAAAUUCAAAAUCAAAUGGUGGGAUUCCUUUGCAGCUGAAUCCAAAAGUUCCAAAUUAGCUGUUAUGGAAUGGUUACAAAAGAAUCUGAUACCAAUAGAUGAGCUGAAUAUCCCUUUCUUCAGUUUUAAUUGUAAAAUCUAUUUUGAAAAUAUCAUAUUUUGAUUUUUGAUAAAUUUGUGUUUGAGAAAUUUUUGGAAUUUUCCAGUCAUCAAUGUUUUUUGUAAAAUCUUCAAUGGUUAUUUCCUCACUUUGUACAAUCCUCUUAUUCUCGGAAGUUUCAGAUGUAGAAGAAGUCGAAACAGAAGUAGAUCUAUAAAAAAAAGAAUCCAUAGUUUGAAAAGAUAAUUUAGAAAACAGGCUGCAAGUUAUAUGGGUUUACUACCUUAAUCACUCAACGGCACUUACAUCAUUCAGUAGCAUUCACCCAUGAACUAAGGUUCUCUUCUCUCUCUAGGGUCUUUGUAAUUUAUGUCACUAUUCCUACCCAGAUCCCAAUAGACUCUGAUACCAAUAGAUAAGUUGAAAGUACGAACAAGAAAUAAUACAAAACGCAACACAGUACGUGGCGUUGUUAUACUUGAGAAUGAUCUUUAGAUCGGGUCAUAGGUUUCCAGCCUAUAUACCGAGUUUGUAAAGAAAGAAGAAAAGAAAACAGAUAACUUUUUGAUGCGAAUGAACAAGGCAAAACCAACAAUUAUAUAUAUAUAUAUAUAUAUAUAUAUAUAUAUAUAUAUAUAUAUAUAUAAUUUUUAAAAAGUUAUUUUUGAUAUCAAUAUAUCAAAACGAUAAAAAAAAAUAUAAAAAUAAUUUUAAAUAAAACAAAUUUAAAUUUUUAAGAAACACAAUUUUUAAAACGUUCCCAAAUGGUUAGAUAGAUCCCAGCCAUGACUUUCCAAACACUAUUUUUACUUUUUUAUUUUUAUUUUUCUGUCUGAAAGACGACACAAUUGAUGAGGUUAUAAAUCCUUCAAAGACAAAUGAGCUUUAUUAUAGAAAGUAUAUAUAUAGGAAAUAUUAUAGGUAUAUUAUAUAGGAAAUAUUAUAAUCAUAUUCUUGUGUUGUAAUCUCCACCAUUACUAUUGUAUAUUACCCUACACAUAUAUAUAGAAAAAAUUAGCUAAUCAAUAGAAAUCAAAGGACUGUUUUUACAGAUACUCAAGUUUUUAUCAUAAAUCUGGAAUUCUUUAAACUAAAAAGAAGAAAUCAAAGUACUUGAAAAUAUUGAUUAACCACGAUCUCAAACACUAAAUAACUUAUUAUUUACAUAUCCUGGAUUUUAGAACAUCAUCAAAUAUAUAUAAUUUAACAGCACAAUAUUAAAGUGAAAGAAAAGAAUAAUAUUGGAGAACCCUAAUGAUAGUCAUCUAGAGAAAGAGAAAUAUAUAAAUGAAGGCCAUUCCUUAUCUCGUUGUUUGGAGCUUUUGGAAUUGAAUUCAAUUUCUAGGGUUAAAUCAAUUUUUGUGUUUAGAGUUUCUUUUUAUGGUAUUGAUAAUAAAAAAAUAAGCAAAAAUAAAUUAAAUAAGAGAACCUCUGAUUUUCUGCAGUAAUUUCAAAUAAAAAAUAUCAUUUCAAAAAUACCUUUAAAAUUUCUCUAUAAAACUUAACACAUGGUUUACUAAAACCCCAGCAACAAGCCAUAAAGUUUCUCAUUCUAUAAAGUCACAAUAAAAAAGAAAAGAAAAAUAAAUUUUUAAAACUUGACAAAUUAUAUUGAUUAAUAGUUUUUUAUUCACCAUGCACUCAUAAUAAAUCAAUUAGUGCUUUUCAUUUUCGUUUAGUGAUGAGGAUGGGGUGCUAGAUGCUAAGAACUGACUGAACCGAUGGAGAGGUUUUAGCAUACCUCCUAAGAUAGGAUUAGAUGGUCCACUAAACUAAACUGACUUGUAGAGUCUCUAUAAGAAGAUUUCUAAUUGUGGUUACACCUAAUAAACCAUAGGAUUAAAUGGUCCCUUCAAUUAAAAAGUCCACUAAAAUUACAGUUAUGCUAUGUUAAUUACCCAAAGGGUACAACCCCUAGCUGUGAUUAUUAUUCCAUUAGAUAGGCCUCCUCAAUUACCGAAAUACACAGGGGAUCAACUCGUCUUUAUACACUAAAAACACAACUAUAAAAGCAAAUCUUCACGUCCAUUCCUUGUUCAGAAGCUAAUUAGUGAGAGCAAGUGUGAUUAUCGGGAAGAGUUCGAAAGGAUGGCAUCACCAUCUCGGCGUCAUCUUGUGCAUGCCAUGGUUUUCGGCUUACUAGCAAUUAACGUGGCGGCCAAUAUUUAUGAUAAUGAGGAACCUCCUAGGCCACCUCAUGAUCACGAAGACCCACCAUUACCAUAUAAUCAUAAAAACUCUCUAUUUCUGCCAUCAGGACUUCUUCAUCGAGGAACACCGCCGCCGCCGCCUCGAUCACCACCACCUCCAAAUAAGAAGAAAACGCCCCCACCACCUCCAAAAAAGAAGAAAACACAGUCACCUCCACCACCAGCAAAGUCUCCACCCCCGCCACCACCAGCAAAGUCUCCACCAUUGCCAUCAGCUUCACCUCCGACCUCAUCUUCAGCUCCCAUUUUACCUCCAUUGCCUUCUAAAAUUUCUCCAGUUACACCCCCUUCAAAAGUUCCACCAUCCCCAUCCCCGGCUUCCAAUUUAUCUCCAUCUCCUCCUUAUACUUCACCAGCAUCCCCUCCGAGAAUUCCCCCCAUUCCAUCUCCAUCCUUCACCAGCAUCCCCUCCAAGAAUUUCACCCAUUCCAUCACCAUCACCAUUUCCAUCUCCUAAUUUAUCUCAAUCACAUCCUCAUACUCCUCCAACAUCCCCUCCAAAAGUUUCACCAAUUCCAAUACUAUCCUCAUCCCCGCAUCCCAAUUUAUCUCCAUCCCCUUCUUAUACUUCACCAAAAAUCUCACCAAUUUCACCACUAUCCGCACCCUCAACUCCUAAUUUAUCUCCAUCACAUCCUCAUACUUCCCCGAUACCCACUUCAAAAGUUUCACCAUUUCCAUCACUAUCCCCAUCUUCGCAUCCCACUUUAUCACCAUCACCUUCUUAUACUUCUCCAAAAUUCUCACCAAUUUCACCACUAUUCGCAUCCCCAAAUCCCAAUUUAUCUCCAUCACAUCCUUAUACAUCCCCGAUACCCCCUCCAAAAGUUUCACCAUUUCCAUCACUAUCCCCAUCCCUGCAUCUUGUUUUCCUCGCCAGGCGUUGAAAACGUCGGCCAGUAUCAAGCUACACGCUGAUGUACCCCGANNNNNNNNNNNNNNNNNNNNNNNNNNNNNNNNNNNNNNNNNNNNNNNNNNNNNNNNNNNNNNNNNNNNNNNNNNNNNNNNNNNNNNNNNNNNNNNNNNNNUUAUCUCCAUCACAUCCUUAUACUCCUCCGACAUACCCUCCAAAAAUUUCACCAUUUCCAUCACCUCGUUAUACUUCUCCUCCACCACCUCCACCUAUCCUCAAAUCUCCACCUCCUCCGAGAUUUACACUUCCUCCCUUCUUUCCCUUUAAAUCCCCGCCACCUCCAUCUCCUUCGCCCCCUCCACAUAUCCUCAAUUCUCCACCUCCUCCGAGGUUUACACUUCCUCCCUUCUUCCCCAUUAAAUCCCCGCCACCUCCAUCUCCUUCUCCCCCUCCACCAAUCCUCAAAUCUCCACCUCCUCCGAGGUUUACAUUUCCUCCCUUCUUCCCCUUUAAAUCCCUGCCACCUCCAUCUCCUUCUCCCCCUCCACAUAUCCUUAAAUCUCCACUUCCUCCAUGGUUCUUUUUGCCUCCCUUUUUCUUUAAAUCCCCGCCUCCUCUAUCUCCAUCACCUCCGUCAUCCAAUAAUUAACCUCCACCUCGUUCAAAAAUAUCUUACUAAAUUGGUCAGUUCUUUUAACUUUCUUUUUAAUAGAUUGUUUAUUUCGAUAACAUUGUUCUUUUUUUAAUUUUAUUUUGUUACUAAUAUUAAUCUCUAAUUUUAUUUUUUUCAGAUUAUAUAUGGUUAAUGAUGGCAGUGGGUUUCUUCGAAGAGGCUACAUAUUAGAUAAUGCAUGUAUUGAAAAUGUAAUCAAUUGAAGGAAAGUGGACUGUAUCAAUCAUGCCAAAAUAAUAUCAUAGAACUUUAGUUAUUGUAAUAAUAAAUGGAUAAUGUGGAGGAAAAUAUUAUGUUUGUUAAAAAGCAUUAUAAUACUAAAUGAAUGUCUUUUAUUACGAUAACUACUUUUUUUUACAAUUCUUGUCGUUAAACUUUUUACUCGUCUAAUUUCUUUGGAGAAAAACAGUAAAAGAUAAUUUAGAUAUCAGGACAAUGUUUACCUAUAUAAAUUGAAGACUUUCCCCACGUGAAAAGCUCGAUUAUUUAGACUUCCAGGUCUACAAACUUGAUUAUAAUUAUUUUGAUAUAUAAUUAAUGGUGUGUAUAACAUCUGGUCCCUGAUUAUUAUAAUUUUAAUAUAUUUUAACUGUGGGCAUAGACUAUCCUUGAGAAGAACGAGGAUUUUUUUUUUAAUUUUAUCAUUCAGUAUUGGAUUGAUUGAUGAUAAAUUAAUUUUGGCAUUUUCUAUGAUAUAAUAAAAUAAAAAAAAUAAUUUGACCCGGUGGAGUUCUUAACCUAAAUCAUAGGGUUAAUAGACUGACUAAAUAUCAAUUAAAAAGUUAGGUAGAGAUUUUUCAAUAGUUUAAAUUAUUAUACUGAGUUUAAUAACAAAUGUUGGAAAGUUUUUAACGAUCCAAAUAUGUUUUUUUUAUGUUUAAACCCAUAGCGAAAGUGGAAGUAGGUUAAACUAGUUAGAACUAAUUAAACUAUCUGAAAAGAGGAUUCAUCAGACACAUUUUAGGUUACAAACUUUGAAUUGAUACUAAAUUAUAAUGCAAGAGAGUUGAAUUCUCUUUUUAAUACAAUUCUUUCCAAAAAAAAAAUCCAUUAAGUUUUUAUAAUAUGGCUUAUUGUAAGAAAAGAAAUCGUUCAAACAAAUUGUAUAUGAAUAGAAGCAUCACAACAAGAAGAAGAAACAACGAGAAGAAAAGCUUUGAUUGUGAUAAGUCAAUAAUUUUUGUUUAUAUUUUUAUUGCUUGAAAAAACCCAAGACGAUGUGGCUCUAGCAAUAUGCAAGACCUAAUACACUUGGGUUCGGCAAUUAGCUGAGCCCAAAGUAAUGUGGGUCUGACAAUAUGUCAGGCCCAACAUACUUGGGCUCACGAAUCAGCUAAACUCAAGGCAACAUGAGCCCGAUGAAAUGCCAAAUCCAAGACACUUAGGUUCAAAAUUUAGUUGAGUUUAAGGCAAUAUGAGCCUGAUGAAAUGUCAAACCCAAGAAGCUUAGGUUCAACAAUCAGCUGAAGAACCUAAGGCAACAUAGGCUUGGCGAAAUGCAAAACUCAAGAAACUUGGGUUCAGCAAUCAGCUCAACCCAAGAUAACAUGGGUCUGGCAGUUUGCAAGACUCAACACACUUGGGUUCAACAAUCAGCUAAACCCAAGACAACGUGGACCUGACAAAAUACCAGACCUAAUACGCUUGAGUUUAGUUAUUAGUCGAACACAAGGUAACUUUAAUAUGGCAAUAUGUCGGAUCCAAUGAUUAAUUAAACCAGAGGUGCAUGCUACAAAUUAGAUAAACUGUCACACCCUUUUUUUUUAUCUAAGUUUGGCUACAUCUCAUGUCUUAAGUGUACAGGGAUAAGGAGUCCUACUUUUAGAAUGGUUACAUGAUUUAUUCAUAUCAAAGGUAAUGAUCUCUCUAUAUUUAUAGAUGUACAAAAGGUUACUUAGGGAGUCCACCACCCGUACCUUCCCAUUAAUAAUGUGUAAGGGAUAUUUGUUUCUCAUUAAUGGUGUGUAAGGGAUAUUUGUCUCUCAUUAAUGCCACGGAAAGCAAAUAACUUUUUAGUCUUGCUCUUCUCUAAAGACAACUAGGUUUAAGGUUUAUAAAUAUCCCUUGAACUAUUCAGGUAACAGGUUCAAAACUUUUUCGACUCAAUAGCUUGCAUAUACUUCGGAGCAUUAAUCAUUCUAAAAAACAAGAACAAACACUUUUUUUCUUGGAACUUAGGGCUCUUUUGAGUUAUUUAUUGCUUUUCCCAUAAAGUUAUUGACUUUGUUUUUACAGGUACUUAGGUUUUUACCAUUAUUUUGGUACUUUUUUAGCUAAGGAGAAGAUAAUUGUGUUCUUAAACACCUUGACCCACCACUAUUCAAAUACUGAAUAACUUCUUGCUUGAAUAUUCUAAAUUUUAGGAUAUCACCAUAUUAGAUCAAUUAAUCAAGGUGCUCGAAUAUAAUCAAGCUAACUCUUUAAUUAUUUUAAUAUCAGAGUUAAAAUAUGAAUCACUAAAUUUUCAAAUCAAUAUAUUGAAUUUAUACACGAUUUGAUAGCUAUUUAAAUAGAACCAUAAGUAGAAAGUUAUAAUUAAUAAGGUUUUGCUUAACCAUUUUGAUAGCUAUAUAAAUAAAACCAAAAGUAGAAAAUUACAACAAAAGGUUAGCAACCCCAAUCAUGUCCAGACAAGCAAUUUCUAAAGCAAAAGGAAUCAAAAUAAUGAAUCCUAAUAUAAUAGGAUAAACAAUGAUUUGCUAACCAAAAGGAGUUAGGUGUGAUUAAUUAAAAUUAGAUAGCGAUUAUGUAUUCGAUAAAUUAUUUUAGAAAACAAAGUUGAAGUCCUAAUUACUAGAGUUUAUUUGUUUAUGUAAUAAAAAAAGACUACAAUUCCAUUUUAUAUUUGAAAAAUAUAAAUGAAUAAAAAGAAAAUUAGUAUGUAGUUUACAAGUUAAACAAAUAAUUUUGGCUUUGGCAGCAAAUCCUUAUAUAACUAAAAAAUAAAAAUGGAAAAAAUACCAAAUAUAGAAUACAAGAGUCAAAACCUACUGCAAAUAUUACAACAAAAAACUAACUCGAUACUAGAGCGGCAGGACAAAACACGACUUCAACCGCAUAGUAACAUCAGAUCCAAAUUGAAUUGUCAUUGCUACUAAAUUUUUAAAUAUUGGAUUUGAUACGAAGGCAAUGUUUUAUUUGUGGUUCAAGUUAGAUUGUAUUCGUAUAAUUAAAUACAUGAUCCCAUAAUAUUAGUAGCAUGACAAUGUUAAAUCAUUUUGCUCUACCUUAUUAAUUUAUGUAUAUUCCCAUAAUACUUUCUUCAUAAUAAUAAGUUUUGAAUUUGUGAUUAAGUUGAUUUAUUUACCUUGUAAUUGAGCUUGAAUUAGCAUUUUCAUGGACUAAAUUCUUCCAAAUUUAAGUAGCUUUUUUUAAAUAAAAAAAACACUUAAUGCAUGAAAGCAGAUGAAUGCUACCCCCUCCUCCGUACUACUGUCACAGAUCAAACACUAGCGAGGAGGGAUUGUGCUUACUUGCGCCAAUAUCAGUGGUAAAUUCAACAAAAAUCUUUAAUAUCACAAUAUUGAGUGAUAGAUUAAUGUUAAACUUUUAUUAAAAAAAUUAUAUAAUGAUGUCAUACAAUAUAUAUUUCAUCAAAAAUCCGCUAUAUAUUAUUGGGGAAAACAAAACCGAGCCAAUAUGAUGUUUCGAAAAUCUUUAAUAAUGAGCAUCACAGAGUUAGAAAAUAGUAUGAUGACAAAAAAAGGAAAAAAAAAUACAUGUGCCAAAACAAAACCAUAUCAUCAGGACACGUUCCAGUACUGCCCUUUUUUUUUCAUUUUCAAGAAUUGGGCAUCACCGAUAGUGGACACGAAACCUAAAGAAAUGGAAGAAAAAAAAAAUUCCCGAGUUAAUUGAUAAAAUCAAUGAAUGGACAACACAACCAUUUUGAAAUGAAGAAAGAAAAAAGGUUCGCCUUUCUUGGCUUCUCAUAAGAAGAAAAAGCAUAGGCCGGUAAACUGGUCAUAUUCUGGAUUUACAUUUCAGAUAUCACUAGUUCGAGUGUUAUAAUUAUUAGAAUCACUGGAGGCUUACCUGGUUAUUAACUUCAGGGCCUCGAGGGAUUAGUCAAAGUAUACGUAAUCUGGCCCGGACACCCAUAAUUACCAAAAAAAACAACGUUCAAGCAACCCCCAACUCCCCAAUAUCUCUGUCAGGGUCUUUAUCUAUCUCCAGACAGAUAGAUUUUACUUGAGUCUCCAAAGUUUACGGAGAUUACUGGAGAUUCCAUAAAGUAUCAAACUUGAAUGACAGUUUUCUUUGCGAAUUAAAGGUAAGAGACAUCUUUCCAAUACAUUAGGAAGUUCUUUAUUUGUGGGGGCGUCAUCUGUUAAGUAAUGAACCUUCCUGUUCACUGUUUAUGGUUUCAUAGAAUUAUAUCAGUUCAUGAGGCAUGGAGUUUUUGUUAAAGAACAGUCUAUCAAGUUCUGUUUGUGUUACUUUGUUUUCUUGCUUUGUGCUUAUUUGUUUGGUAGCUUGGAAAUGAUGGGAAAGAAAACAAAUUAAAGUAAAUUUGAUUUCUUUGAGUUGAUUAAUUUGAGAUGAGAAUUAAAAAAUAUGCCUAGAAGUAGUACUAUUUAUGAUGAUUUCGUAAACAUUUGGGAGAUAUGACAGUAUAGAAGCAUGAUAUUCUCGUCUGAAUUCUCUAUCUCUGUUUUCCUUGUUCUUACGGAGUUCUCUCUUCAACUACGAUUUACCUAAUCACUGCAGGUCAACCUUUCUGGGGUAUGGAAAUUCUUACUUCCAGCACCGUACCAUGCCGUCUUGUUGUAAAUCUGAGGUCGAUAUUAGAUGAAAAUGUAUCGAAUUCUUGCCUGUUAAAGCUCCCUGUUAGUAGUGAGCGCAAAAUGCUGGUUGCUAGGACUGAUCACAGUAGCGGGUCUUUGAGAUUUUCUAGUUUUGAUAUUGAAGAAAGCUAGAGAAUUACAAUCUCUGAUCAUAUUUUGUAUUGAUGGAAUUGUACAAGUAUAUUUGGAAUAGAAUCAGAACCUAAUACAACAAUUAAUGAUAUGAUUCUAUCCUUGAUUCUAGAAAGGAUAUAUAGUAAUUACAAGAUCAUCUAAACUAGGUAUAAAUAAACUAUCUUAGGUAAUGACAUAACUGCAGAAAUCUUCAAUAUCUACACCAUUAAUCUACAAUAUCUUCAAUAUCUACAAUAUCUUCAAGACUCCUCCUCAUGAUAGAUUAAUUGAUCCAAACUUGCUUAACAACCGAUAAAACUAAUCACAAGGUAGAAUUUUGGUAAACACAUCAUCUAGUUGAUCAUAAGUGCGCACAUACUUAGUUUGAAUAAGUUUAGCUUGAACUUGCUGAUGAAUAUAAUGACAAUCCACUUCAAGGUGUUUCGUUCGUUCAUGAAACACCAGAUUAGCCGCAAUAUGCAUGACAACUUGAUUAUCACAAAACAAUGUCACUGGUGUAUGAUUGUGAAAACCGAGAUCUGCAAGUGAAUUCUUGAGCCAGAUCAAUUCACAUGAAGCAGAUAUCAUUGCGCGAUAUUCAGCUUCAACACUUGAGCGAGCGACCACAUGUUUUUUUCUUUUCCAGGACACUAAAUUACCUCCAACAAACAUGAAAAUAUUCAGUGGCAGAUCAUCUAUCUAGUGCAUUGCCUGCCCUAUCUGAGUUUGUGUAGCUCAUAUGUUUGUGUGCCCAUUGCGUUUCAUUACGUAAAUUAAUUUGCCAACAAUCCUUUGAUAAGUGGUGAAUGACGUGAAAUGUUUGCUUAAGGAGUCCAAUUUGAUCUUAUUGUCCAGGGUAGUAAUGGUUGGCUUAGCAUGUAGCGUUUCAGCUUCUUGUAACAAAUCUAGGAUAUACUUCUGUUGAUUAAGAAACCUUUGCUAGAAGUUGCCAUUUCAAUCCCUAAGAAGUCCUUUAGUUUACCAAGAUCUUUAAUUGAGAAUUGCUUCUACAGAUCUUUCUUCAAUUUUGCUAUAGAAUCUCUAUUAUUCCUAGUGAUCAUUAAAUAAUCUACAUAGACAAGUUCAACAAGUUUUUCAUCUGAAUUUUGCCAGACAAAUAGGAAAGAAUCAACAUUGCCCUUGUAAAACCAAAAGCUUUCAGAGCAAUGCUUAACUUUGCAUGCCAUGCUUGUGGACUCUGUUUCAAUCUAUAAAUGGAUUUAUGAAGUUUUGCAAACCAAAUUAGGAUGGUUACUCUAUGGAUGUCCAGGAGGUAGUUUCAAGAACUCUUUUUCUUUAAGUUCUCCAUGUAAGAAUGCGUUUCUUACAUCCAUUUGAUACAAUUAUCGGCCAUGAUUAAUUGAAACAGAUAAUAAGACUAUGACAAUAGUCAUUUUUUCCAUAGGAGCAAAUGUUAUUCAACUUCAAAUUUCUGAGAGAAACCUUGAGCUACAAACCAAGCUUUAUGUAGUUCAAUUGUUCCAUUUGAGUUGAACUUAGUCUUGAAAAUCCAGCGAUAACCUACUACUUGUUUACCUAUGGGAAGAGGCAUGAUGCUUCAUGUAUGAUUGUUGUCAAGUGCAGGCAGUUCGUCCUUUAUAGCUUGCUGCUAUACAACUUAAGAUUGAGCUUCUUGAAAUGUCUUUGGCUCAUGAAAAUUUAUUAUGGAAAUGAGGAAUGCUUUGUGAUCUUGAGACAGUUGGUAAUAUGACAGAGAUUUAGAGACUGGACGCUUGAUAUUAUAAGUUACAUACUCUUGUAGUCUAGAAGGGGGUUGAUGUUUUCUGUACGAUAUUCUUUUUGAAGUUGGUUGAUCAUUUGGAAUACUAAGAACUUCUUGCACACUUGAUUCACUUGAUCAAAGUUGAAAUCUAUUCAUGUAGCUUCAUCAGAAAAGUUUACAUCAGAUAUUAGACUGGCACACUAAAUAUCACUCGCAGAACUUGAUUUUGAUGUAGGGCUGUCAGAACUGGAAUUAGUUCUAGCACUAGUGGACUGUCGUUGCAGAGAGCAUGGACUCUGAUCGAUGGAACUUGAACUAGGCAACAUAAAUAAUUCAAAAAGAUCCUCCCCCUGACUUGUUGUGGAGAAAUAAGGGAUGUCUUAAAUGAAUAUAACACCUCUUAAUAUAUAUAUAUAUAUAUAUAUAUAUCUUCUUUAGUAAGGGAUUAUAACACUAGUAAAUGAUCGAUGGAACUUGACUAUGCAGCAGCAAUAAUUCAAAAUGAUCCUCCCCCGACUUGUUGCGGAGAAAUAAGGGAUGUCUUCAAUGAAUCUAACACCUCUUGAUAUGUACAUCGUUUUUAUUGAGGGAUCAUAACACUUGUACCCCUUUUGUGUUUGAAAAUGCAUUUAAUUGCUCUUGAAUCAAGCUUAUCAUGUUGUGAUGGUGGCAAGUGUACAAAACAGGAGCAUCCAAACACUUUGAGAUGUGACAAAUAUGGACUUUUAGCCUGCAAAACUUGAAGAGGAGAUUUAAAACCUAGCACACGGCUGGGUAACCGAUUUAUAAGAUAUGCAGCCUUGAGAACACCAUAUGACCAAAAUUGUUUUGGAAAUUCAUUUGAAACAUUAUGGUACAUUGUUUUUUCAAGCAGAUCGUGAUUUUUUCAUUCAGAAACCCUAUUUUGUUAGAGUGUACCAGCACAACUAGUUUGAUGCAAUAUGCCAUUAGAACGUAAAUAAUAUUACAUAUCUUUGGACAUGUAUUUGGUGUCAUUAUCUAAUCGGAUGAUUUGAAGAUGAACUGAGAACUGAUUUGUAAUCAACAUAUGAAAAUCCUUAAGAUAUUCAAAUACUUCACUCUUAACUUUCAGCAAUACACCCAUGUGACUCUAGAGAAAUCAUCAAUAAAAGUUACAGAGUAUUAGAUAGUGAAGUAUAGAAUGGUCUCCAUACAUAUGAGUGUACAAGUCCAAAUGCAUGAGUAUCAUGUGAUAUGAAUGGAUUAAAAGGAAGUUUAGAUGAUUUAGGAAAAUACAAAUCUCAUAUUUAAAAGGUUCCUAUUUAUUUUGCUAAAAACAAAAUCUGAUGGAUGUGCUAGAGGACAAUGCCAUAAGAAUGGCUCAUAGGAUGAUUUGAAACUAGCCUGAAAUCCUCGAGAAACUUGAGAAUCAUUAGAGAAAUAAUAAAGACUAUGCAAAAAAAAAAACCCUUCACCAAUCAUCUUCUUGGUUAAUGGAUCCUAAAAUAUAACCUUAUGAUGAGUAAAAAUUACAUCACAAUUGAAUGUAUAAGUUAACGUACUAUCUAAAAGCAAUUAGAAAGGAAAAGAGGGAACAUAUAACAUCAGACAUGAUUUUAUCAAUGAUUAACUUGAUUUUUCCCUUAUCCUUUACAUGAGAACCCUUUCCGUAAGCUACCGAAACAAAGGUAAGAGAAGCAAAUUGUUCAAGAUAAAAAAUAUUACUCAAUUUUUUAGACAUAUGAUCUGUGGCACCAGAAUCGACAAUCCAAAGAUCAUGCAAAUUAUCAAGUUCUAAUGCAGUGGUAAAGGCAAUCAGAAUACCUUGGCUGGUUUUCAGGUCUGCUUCAGCUAGGAAUCUGGUGAGGUGGCUGAGGAGUGUUGUUGGUUGAAUCUACUCUUGUCUAGUAGCUCUGUUUUUCGCCUUCUUAUGACCGUGCUUGUCUUGCAAGUAAUUAGCAAAGUCUUGGAUCAAGGCAACAAGAUUUGUAGUGAAGUUUUGAGUGGUAUGAGUUGCUAGAUUUGACUUAUAAUUAGAUGAUUGUCUCUUAUAUCCUCUGUUGUUACUCAAUUUUGGACCCCACGUGCUGGAGAUGGUGUAUACCCGUUUUGAACCGAGUGUAGGAGUGUAGCUCAUGUUUGCUAGAAAAUUGACAAAAGCAGAGAAAUAAAUUUUUUUUUUCGAAACCUUGUUUAAGCUGUUUUCUUCUCUUUUUUAUCCUUCCCCUUUGCUACCAAAAUCGUCAGGUUUUCUUAGGUCGAUCAGGAGUCUUUAUAAUGCUAAAUUCGUUCCUUCUUUAUCUGGUCUUUAAGGUUGGAUAAAUCCCUCAGAAUUUGCAAAAAAAAUGGUUCUGCUGCUGUCGCAAUUUUUUUUCCAACUUAGGCUCUGAUUCUGACUUGGUUUCGUACGAUAUCUGACCAUCCUAGCUAUAUUCUGUCACUCAUGACAUGUUGAAAAAUUGACCUACACCUUUAUUAGGUCCUAGGGAUCAUUGUUCUUAGGACAGAUUCUCAGUCAGAUUUGGAUGCUCAGAAUUGUUAGAUCAAGAACCUUUUUGACCAACUAGAUUACUGCCAGAUUCUGUUCUCUAAAACAAUUUUAUCUCACUUCAACUCCUUCAUCAAAGUUGUAGUCCUGGACGUGUAGAUAAAUUUGGGCUUUUGAAUCGCUUGAUUUCGAUAUCAGAAGCUCAAGAUAUUCCAGUUUGAAUAUCUAAUGUGAAGGUAGAGAAUUCUACCGCGAGAAGGAUCCUGACCCGAGUUUUGCACUAAAAACUCUAUUUCCAUCACAAAUUUUGUUGAUUUGUUCUUAGUUCAUACUUUCAGUCAUAUCAGGAUGCUCGGCAUUGUCAGUUUCUGAAUUAGACUAGGAGACCCUUUUUGACCAACCAGAUUACUGCUAGAUUCUGUUCUCUAAAAUGAUUUUAUCUCACUUUGACUCCUUCAUCAAAGUUGUAGUCCUGGACGCAUAGAUAAAUUUGGGCUUUUGAAUCACUUGAUUUUGGUAUCAGAAGCUCAAGAUAUUCAUGUGUUUAAUAUCUAGUGUGGAAGCAGAGAUUCCUACCGCGAGAAGGAUUUUUUUUUUGCUCGGGUUUGCAGGGACACAAUUGCGAAAUGCUUAAAGAUUAAAGACCAAUUGCAGGCCAAUUUGAAUCCUUUUUGGACCAAGGACCAAAUGGAAAAGGUGCUAAAAUAAGGAGGAUGAUUGAAGAUAAAAAAUAGAAAGGAUUUUUGCCGAAGGAAGACAUUGAAGAAAACACGUUUUUACCUGCACAACUAGCCGUUUUCUUUCUUUCCUUUUUAUAUGAAAUUUCUUGUUUGGUUUCCAUGUUUCUCUCGCUUGAAUGGAGAGCUGCAGACCACGUUUUUAUUGCCUCAUUUCAAAGGGAGCAUCUGGCCUUAUGGAAGGAAAGAAAGGAGCCACACCAUCCUCUAAAAAACUGGAAAGAAAUCAGACAUGAGCACAAAAUCAAAAUCAGAAUAUGGCAGUUUCCUUUUUGCGUUUUUUUACUGCAAAUCAGUAGGGAUUUGCAUCCUAGAAUUAAUGCAUUAAAUCUUUCCUAAAUAGAGAUAUGUUAGACUAUAUAUAAGCCCCUCUGAUGACCUAGGAAAGGAAAAAAAAACGGAAAAAAAGAAGGGAAGCCAGGCAGAAAAAGAAAGGAGAGAACAGAGAAAAACAGAAAAAGAAAGACAAAAAACGCAGAGAGGUAGGCAGUUAGGAGAGAAAAAAACGCAGAGAACAGAGGGAGUUUCUUCCUUCAUCCUUGCUUUGCUGUGAGAUCAGGAAGGCAGGCAGUAGAAGAGAAAGAAGAGAAAAGAAAAGACGAAAAAAAGAGAGGAGAAACAAGGAAGAAGCAGGGACUGACUUUCGGUCUGCAGAAAGAGGAGAAGAAGGUGCAGAAAACCAAAAGAAAGAGAGGAGACCGAAACAGAGAAAGGAGAAAGGAGAAAGGAGUCUCUCUUUGGAUACCAGAGGCGAGAAAGCAGAAGCUCUGUCCAUCAGCUCGCAAGUCAUCUUUGGCAUUCAGAACAAGCGGGGAUUUGCAGACAGUGGAGGACUGAAAGAGCCGGGGUCGCCAGCGGACCAGGUAAGCCGUGUGUCUCUAUUCUCCCAGUUUUUUGCAUUUUGCAUGUUAAGACACUGUGCAUUCUUAGUUUGCAUUUGUUACUGUUCAAGUGAAAUUUAAUUCACUUGAACAGUAACCAGGGAAGGCAAAUUCACUUGAACGUGUAUUAUUUUUUUUUAUUCCCAGCUUUUGCAUGCAUUCUUUGUUGCAUUUGUUACUGUUCAAGUGAAAUUUAAUUCACUUGAACAGUAACCGGGCAAGGCAUGUGUAUUUAUUUUUUUGUGUUUUUUUUGUAUUGUAAAAAUAGAAAUCUCGUUUUUAGAAUACCCGGUUUUCGACGCAAUGCGACAACUAUACAUAUAUAUAAAAAAAAUGUUUUCUUGUGUGUUGCAUACAGCCAAUACCCUAACAUGUUUUGAACGCUCUUUUUUAUACAAAAAAUAUUGGAAGUUUAGAAAAUGUGUUUUCGCAUGAAUUUCUUAAAUAUAACAAAAAUUAUUUUCUUGCAUUUCUGAAUUUUACAACAUGUUUGUAAAACUCCAAAGGGUAUUGGCCAAUAUUCCAAAAAAUAAAAAAUCUUAUUUUGAGGGGAAUUCAUCUAUUAUUCACCGUUAAUGUUUGGAUAAAGAAAUCCCAAAGGGAUGAAUAUCCAAAAUAUUUAAUGGGAAUAACUUGUUAUUAUUCACUGUUAAUAUUUGGAUAAAGAAACCCUAAGUAGUAAAUAUCCAAAAUAAUUUUCUAGGGAUAAUAAGUCAUCACACAUCAUUGAAAGAAGCCUUGAUUAUAAUCGAGGACAUUUCAAUUUUUUUUUGCUCCACGGUUUACGAGCAAUGAGAGUAUAAAACACUAAGGCAAAAAUAGGCUUUUAAAGCGCCCUAGAUUUCUAAAUUUUUAUCCCUCCUUGCGAUUUAUGAGUCGCAAACUCUUGAAAUAUUAAGGGAAAAAUGAGCUUUAAAGCACAUGGAAUCUCCUUGGAUUUCUAUCUUAAUAAAUUUAGUUUGAAUCAAACCUAGGAAAACUGAUGGGAUUAGAAAACACCAACGCCAUAGCAAUUAUAAAGCAAACCAAACACCAAGCAGCUUACCUUAGGUAGAGCGUACUAGGGGUGCUAAUACCUUCCCUUUACGCAACCAGUCUCUUGCCUUAGAAUCUCUGAAAAACCAGUUAGGGUUCCUAGUGACCAAAAUACUAGGUGACGACUCCAAAUAACCAACUCCUUUAUUCACAAAAAAACAAAAAAAAACCCCAAAAUCAAUCGAGGGUUGCCGCGCUCCGCCGCGAGGGUGCGACAGGAUGGCAACUCCACUGGGGACCCUUGGACUAAGCUUGGUAAUCAUUUUUUUAUUAUGCUAUGUGUUGUUGUUUUUUGUACUAUGAAUGACACUUUGUUUAAAAGCUUUGGCAUGCAUCUUUAUAUUCUGUCAUACAUGGUGUAGUCAUUCAUCACUUUAUUAUUAUUUUCUUUUUUGAGAGCACAUACAUUAAAUUUUAAGUUAAGUGGGGGACUAGCAGCGAGUCAAGGUUUAAGUUUGUGUAAACCCCAACUCUUAGUUGAGUGUUUAGACUGAUAGUGAUUGGUACACGUGCCAUCCCACUAUCUGUUGAACCCCCAUAUUGCCUUUACAAGGGUGAUCACUAGGACAGCAAGAGACCCUUUUUAGAGACCAAGUAGUAAACCUACCCUAUGUCUUAUAUAAAGGAACUAGACCUAUCCUUAAGAUGUAUGCUCCAUAAUAUCGUUUUGCAUCCAAACAAGCCUAAGCUCAAAGCAUCUUGAAUCUCAAGACCUUCAUUCAAAAGCUAGCCAAGGGAGAGAUGUUCCAGAGUUGGGAGACCCAAGAAGCUCCAUUGGUGUUCAAAAUUUAAUCAACAAUUCUUGUUUGAUCAUGAUAUUGUGUUGUUUGCCUUUUUCACCUUUUUAAAUCGAGGUUCCAAAUGUCAAAUUGGAUUUUAUCCUUGUUUUGUUAGCCAAACUUUUCCUUUUAAUGAGAUCAUGCAUUUUCAAAAGUUCAUCUUUAUGUUUUUACUAUGCAUUUACACAUCACUUUCCGCUUUUAGAAACCCUGAAAGCUGAUCUUCCAUAACAAACACCUGCACUUUACACCGAGAAUAAAUUGUCAAACUUUAAAGAAUACAACAUUAUGGAAUUCACAAAAUUAAUAAAGCAGCAUGAACAAGCUUGGAAACUCGCUAAAGAGGAACUUGAAACCAUAGAUGUGGGCAAUGAAGAAAUCAAGAGAGAGUUGAAGAUAGAGACUUUGAUUACCCCUAAAGAAAGAGAAAAGUUGAUUACUUCGAGAUUAUAUAGAUGUAUUUGCUUGGUCUUAUGAGGAUAUGUUUGGCUUAGAUACGGAUAUCAUAGUAGAUAGGGUACCACUAAUAGAAGGAUGCAAAUCGGUUAAGCAAAGGUUGAGAAGGACCAAUAUGAAUGUCUUGAUCAAGGUAAAGACAUAAAUUGAAAAGCAGUGGAACGUCGAUUCUCUAGAAGAAGUCAAAUAUCCACAUUGGGUGUCCAACAUAAUGGUAGUACCCAAAAAGGAAGAUAAAAUCAGGGUUUGUGUAGACUUUAGGGACUUAAACCGGACUAGCCCUAAAGACAAAUUUCCUCUAUCACACAUAGAUAUGUUAGUUGACAAUGCAGCUCAUAGCCCCAUAUAUUCCUUUAUGGACGGGUUUUCGGGCUACAAUAAGAUAAAAAUGGCGCAAGAGGAUAAGGAGAAGAAACCUUUGUAACACUAUGGGGAACCUUUUGCUACAAGGUCAUGUCAUUUGGGCUGAAGAAUGUCAGGGCCACUUACCAAAGGGCCAUGGUGACUCUAUUUCAUGACAUGGAUGAUAUGACUGCUAAAUCUAAAGAGGAAGUGAGUCAUGUCCAAAUAUUGAAGAAAUUACUUGAAAGACUAAGGAAAUAUAAGCUGAGGCUUAACCCCGCAAAGUGUUCAUUCGGGAUGAAAUCUUGGGAAGUUGUUGGGAUUCGUGGUGAGUGAUAAAAGGGAUAGAAGUGGAUCUUGACAAAGUAAAGGCUAUUCAAUCUAUGCUAACUCCCAAGACUGAGAAGAAUGUAAGAAGGUUCUUAGGAAGAUUGAAUUACAUUGCUUGGUUUAUAUCCCAAUUAACCACGACUUGUGACCCAAUCUUGCAUUUGUUAAAGAACUGUGCUUGGACAAUACAAUGAAACAGGAAGGGGAACCUUUUGCUACAUAAUGAAACACGACUUGUGGCCCUUUCCUCUAAAAUGACCUGUAAUGCAAAUAAAAGCAUUGAAUCGACUGAAAGAAGUGCCCCUUCCUUUACUUUAGUGUCUUUUUUAGGACCUAGAUGGCUGUUGGAUAAGGAAAGGGCCAUUUAUUACCUAAGCAAGAAGUUCACGGAAUGCAAGUCUAGGUAUACUAUGAUUGAGAAGCUGUGUUCCGCACUAGCAUGGCCUGCAAAGAGAUUGUGUCAAUAUAUGUUGUAUCAUACUACAUGGUUGAUUUCAAAAUUAGACCCAUUAAGGUACAUCUGUGGAAAGCCCUAUCUGUCAAGCCAAAUUGCAAUAUGCCAAGUUCUACUAGCUAAGUAUGACAUAGUAUAUAUGACAAGGAAAGCUGUGAAAGGGAGUGUUAUUGUUGAUCACCUAGCUGACCAUGCUAUGGAAGAUUAUGAGCCAUUAAAAUUUGACUUUCCUAAUGAAGAUGUGCCUUCAGUUGAGGAAUGGAAAUUAGAUUGGUGGAUUAUGUACUUUGAUGGUGUUGUAAACGUAUGUGGUAACAGAGCUGGUGCAAUGAUAAUCUCUCCUAAUAAAAAGUAGUAUUCGGUUUUAGUUAAGUUGCAGUUUGGGUGCAAUAACAACAUAGGAGUAUGAAGCUUGCAUUCUCGUUUUAGAGGUGGCAUUGGAGCUGAAUAUUAGAAAGAUAGUUAUGUAUGGAGACUCGAUUUUGAUUAUUUUCCAAGUGAAAGGAAAAUGGCAAACCAAGGACAAGAAGUUGAGACUUUACCAAGAAUACCUAUCUAAAAUUGGCUAGAGAAUUUGAGGAAAUAAAGUUCACCCAUCUAGGAAGGGAAGGAAACCAUUUUGCUAACGCUUUGGUCACGCUAGCUUCUAUGGCUAGAAUAGACUUUGGGCACAAGGUACAGUUGGUAUGCAUUAAUAUCAGAAAUAAUCCAGCUCAUUAUUGCUCAGUUGAAAGAGAAAUAGCUGGAAACCCUUGGUACUAUGAUAUCAAGAAUUUCAUCCAAAACCAGACAUAUCCCAUGGGGGCAUCCAAAAUCAACAAGAGGACUUUGAGGAGGUUGGCAAUGGAUUUCUAUCUUGAUGGGGAAACUUUGAAUAAGAAAUCAUCUGACGGAACUUUGUUGAGAUGUUUGGAUGAUAUGGAGGUAAAAAGUCGUGAAGAAAUUUAUGGAAAGAGAUUUGAUCUGUCGAUAUGGUCCACUAGAAAAGAUUAUAACUAAUAAUGCCCAGAACUUCAAUGGCAAGAUGAUAAUAGAACUCUGCGCUAAAUGGAAAAUCAAGCAUUCCAAUUCCUUACCAUAUAGGUCAAAGAUGAAUGGUGCGGUAGAAGCUGCUAACAAAAAUGUCAAGAAGAUUAUUUAGAAGAUGGUAGUCACCUACAAGGAUUGGCAUAAGAUGUUGCCAUUUGCCCUUCACACGUACCGUACCACAGUCCGAACCUCAAUAAGAGCCACCCCGUAUACUUUGGUAUAUGGAAUGGAGGCGGUGAUGCCUUUAGAAGUGGAAAUCCCCUCAUUGAGAGUAUUGAUAGACUUUGAGCUAGAAGAGGUAGAAUGGGCAAAGGUUAGAUAUGAACAGCUGAAUCUGAUCAGUGAAAAUAGAAUAGCCGCAAUCUUUCAUCAUCAACUCUAUUAAAGAAGGAUGGCCAAAUCAUAUGACAAGAAGGUUCGACCUCGAGGAUUCCGCGAAGGAGAUCUUGUACUGAAGAAAAUAUUGCCUUUUACCAGGAGAAGAUCAGAGUAAAUGGGCGCCAAACAAUGAGGGCCCUUUGGUGGUAAAGAAAGCGUUCUCAGAAGGAGCUUUAUUGUUAUCUAGAAUGGAUGGAGAAGAUCUAGUUAAACCUAUGAAUGUUGACUCUAUAAAGAAAUACUAAGCUUCCCAGUCAAUAAAAGAAAGUUCGGCCAUCAAUUCUCUUUGUAAAGAACCUUUUUAUCAUAAAACGUAUGAUCUCAUAACAUUUGAAAUCUUUUACUUAAAAGAACUGUUUUUUUUAACGCAUGACUAAGGAGAUGACUCCAUCAAUUGGAGAGAACCAAAUCAAAUCUAAACUUGACAUAUUUUUGCACACCACACUGGGGGCAAGAAGUGCACAAAGUGCACAUAGGGAUCCAUAGUGAACCAAAGCCCAAAGGGGUAUCAUCAUAAAAACUUCUAAAAAAGCAUCUUUUAUGAGAAUUGCUAAUUGCAUUGAAAGUUUCAGUUUUCAUGAACAAAACUAAAUCUUUUGAGUUUUUCUUUUAAAAUAUUAAUAAAAGACAAUACUCAAUGGAGCAAGAAAGGGCCUCAUAAGGAACCAAAGAUCUCUUCACCAAGAGGAUAGGAAGUAUCGCGCGUGGAUCACAUUCCAUUUCAAGAGGACGAGUCGGACAAACAAAUGGAAACAGGAGCUCAAUAAGUCUACAAUAGAAAGGGGGACCUAUAUUUCCAAAAUAGGUAACAAAAAAACAUGUAUGCUAUAUUGUCAUAACACUAACCUGGCAGGAGAAGGUGUGACGAAAGCGAAAAUAGUUCCAAGUUUUUGGGAAAACCGCUGAGGUCCAAAAUCUCAGGUCAACGGAACUACAGAAAAGGAUAGGAAUUGUGAACCAGCACUGCUUCAUUUCCUCGAGGUCACCCGAUAUUGAGACCAUUCCUUAGAAAAGCAUGGGGUUUUCUAAGAAUUUUAAGAAGGGCCGGUCACCUGAUAUUGAAACCGUUUCUUAGAAAAGCGUGGAGUUUUCUAAGAAUUUUAAGAUGGGCCGGUCACCUGAUAUUGAGACCGUCUCUUAGAAAAGCGUGGAGUUUUCUAAUAAUUUUAAGAUGGGCAGCCACCCGAUAUUGAGACCGUUUCUUAGAAAAGCAUGGAGUUUUCUAAGAAUUUUAAGAUGGGCAGGUCACCCAAUAUUGAGACCGUUUCUUAGAAAAGCAUCUAGUUUUCUAAGAAUUUUAAGAGGGGCUGGUCACUCGAUAUUGAGACCGUUUCUUAGAAAAGCGUGGAGUUUUCUAAGAAUUUUAAGAUGGGCAGGUCACCCAAUAUUGAGACCAUUUCUUAGAAAAGCGUGGAGUUUUCUAAGAAUUUUAGGAUGGGCCGGUCACCUAAUAUUGAAACCGUUUCUUAGAAAAGCGUGGAGUUUUCUAAGAAUUUUAAGAUGAGCCGGUCACCCGAUAUUGAUACCAUUUCUUAGAAAAGCGUGGAGUUUUCUAAGAAUCUUAAGAUGGGCAGGUUACUCGAUGUUGAGACCGUUUCUUAGAAAAGCGUGGAGUUUUCUAAGAAUUUUAAGAGGGGCCGGUUACCUGAUAUUGAAACCGUUUCUUAGAAAAGCAUGGAAAAGCGUGGAGUUUUCUAAGAAUCUUAAGAUGGGCCGGCACCUGAUAUUGAGACCGUUUCUUAGAAAAGCUUGGAGUUUUCUAAGAAUUUUAAGAGGGGCCAGUCACCCGAUAUUGAGACCGUUUCUUAGAAAAGCAUGGAGUUUUCUAAGAAUUUUAAGAUGGGCAGGUCACCCGAUAUUGAGACCAUUUCUUAGUAAAGCGUAGAGUUUUCUAAGAAUUUUAGGAUGAGCAGGUCCCCUGAUAAUUGGACCAUUUCUAAAAAUAAAAAACGUGGAGUUUUUCUAGAUAGAUAGGUCACCUGAUAGGGAAACCAUUAUUUAGGAAAAGCACUGAGUUUUAGCAUGAUCAGACAAUUUAUCUUUACAACACUUACUACGCGAAGCACUUGACAAGUUUUGCUUCGUAAGCAUUGUAAAGAGGGGGCAUCUGUUGUUACUCAAUUUUGGACCCCGCGUGCUGGAGAUGGUGUAUACCCGUUUUGAACCGAGUGUAGGAGUGUAGCUCAUGUUUGCUAGAAAAUUGACAAAAGUAGAGAGAAAUUUUUUUUUCAAAACCUUGUUUGAGCUGUUUUCUGCUCUUUUUUAAUCCUUCCCCUUUGCUACCAAAAUCGUCAGGUUUUCUUAGGUCGAUCAGGAGUCUUCAUAAUGCUAAAUUCGUUCCUUCUUUAUCUGGUCUUUAAGGUUGGAUAAAUCCCUCAGAAUUUGCAAAAAAAAUGGUUUUGCUGCUGUCGCAAUUUUUUUUCCAACUUAGGCUCUAAUUCUGACUUGGUUUUGUACGAUAUCUGACCAUCCUAGCUAUAUUCUGUCACUCAUGACAUGUUGAAAUAUUGACCUACACCUUUAUUAGGUCCUAGGGAUCAUUGUUCUUAGGGCAGAUUCUCAGUCAGAUUUGGAUGCUCAACAUUAUUAGAUCAAGAACCUUUUUGACCAACUAGAUUACUGACAAAUUCUGUUCUCUAAAAUAAUUUUAUCUCACUUCGACUCCUUCAUCAAAGUUGUAGUCCUGGACGUGUAGAUAAAUUUGGGCUUUUGAACCCUUGGUACUAUAAUAAAUUUAGUUUGAAUCAAACCUAGGAAAACUAAUGAGAUUAGAAAACAUCAACGCCAUAGCAAUUAUAAAGCAAACCAAACACCAAGCAGCUUACCUUAGGUAGGGCGUACUAGGGAUGCUAAUACCUUCCCUUUACGCAACCAGUCCCUUGCCUUAGAAUCUCUGAAAGACUAGUUAGGGUUCUUAGUGACCAAAAUACUAGGUGGCGACUCCAAAGAAUCAACUCCUUUAUUCACAAAAAAACAAAAAAAAAAACCUGAAAUCAAUCGAGGGUUGUCGCGACGCCGUGCUCCCCGUGAGGGUGCGACAUCCUCACUGCUCAGCAAAUCUGGGUUUAAUUUCUGGAUAAAGUUCCAACAUCGGUCUAUCAAGUGUCCAAUGUUAUAACAAUAGCUGCACUUCAGGUCUAAUCGUUUCCUUUUGAAUGUUCUUUCAUUAGUUACUUGUCAUGGUAGAGCAUGAUAAUCAGACAUACCAGAAUUCUCACUACGAGACAUUGCUUUGGCAUGAUAAACACGAGCAUUAGCAGCUCUAGAAUUAGUAUCACAGCUCAUCACCUUCCUGCGAAUCUCUUCAAGCUGGAUCGUUGUACAUACAGAUUUCAAAGAAGGUAGUUCUAAAUUCAUUAAAAUAUGACUCCGCAUGUCUUUAAAAUGAGGACUGAGGCUUGCCAGAAGUUGAAAAAUUCAGUCUUAUUUUGUUCUUUUUUGUAGGACAGUAGCAUCAAUAGUGUGAGGGUGAUACAUCUCUAGUUCAUUCCACAAGCUUUUCAGAAUUCCCAAUAGCUGAACAAAGGGUCCAUCAUUCUAAUGAAGAUUUGCAAUUUCGCGAUGAAUCUGAAAUAUUCGAGCAACAUUGUUUUAGAUAACCAAGCCUCAUAUUCUAGGGCAUCCAUGUCUGGAAAAAGUGUUGAACCAUUGAUGAAUCCUGCUUUGAUCUUCCACCAAGGGUGAUAGUGAAAGCCCUUUAACCAAGGGAAAUAGUUGAAUUCAUUUAGCAAUAUUGAACUCAACCUUUGAGAGGUAUUGGUAUUGUAAACCCCGAGGAUAAACUUUUACAAUAAAAAAAGAGCUUUAAAUUAACCCCAUGAUGAAGAAGGUGAGGUUAAAUGUAUGGAAAAACCAAAUAAAUUCAAAUGUUAAGAAAGGAUUUUAAAAGAUAAAAAGGAGUACCACUCAAAUUGUAAAAAAGAAGAAAAAAUGUGGCCAAAGUAUAAUUAAAAAGGAUGGGACUAUAAAUUCCUCAUUCUCUCAUCCAUGAGGCUGGCAGCAAGGAGACAAAUAUGAGGGAGAGUAAUUUCAAAUUUCUUCCACCAAAAUUUGAGAGAAAACACCAAAAUUGUUAAGUCUAUACAAGCUCUAGAUUACUAGGUAGAGAAAACAACCUUUGGGAAAGGAAUUAAUAAGAAAACAAGUGAAGAAAUUGUGAGGAAAAGAGAGGAAGAGGGUCAGUUACAUACAAGGAAGGAGGAGUAAAAAAUAUUCAACCAAUUUAGAAUUGAAAUCCAAAUUUCCUCCAGUUAAGGAGCCCUAUACCUAAUUGUGAAAACCAAUUUAAAUUCAAUUAGGAAUUGUGCACCAAUCUUGAAAUUGAAAAUUAGGGUUCUUAAAUGAAAUUUGAGGGAUUUGUAGAAAUUGUUGAAAUUGAGUUAAUUGAAAUAUUAUAAGAUACCUUAAACAUGAAAUCAUGUAAAAAUACCAAAGAAAAAUCAAUGGCCAAAGGAACAAGAGUGGCCAACCAUUUGGGGGUUAAAUGGGAGGAAAAUAAAUUUUGAUUCGCUUGAUAAAGUCUUUGUGAUAUGUUGUUAUAAUGUGAACAAUGAUUGAAUAAGAUAAAUAAUUGCAUGAGAAAGAGAAAGGAACCCUCGAUUCCCUUAUGCCAAGUUUCGGCCAAGGCUAAAUUGAGAAGGGGGAGGGGGAGUUUUGAGAUUUUAUAUGUUAAUGAAGAGUGAAUUAGGUGUGGUAUGAAGUUUAUUAAUAGGAGAAGCAUGAUAACUUGAUAGUGGGGAACUUUGUAGAUCGAAUGCAUGUGUUAUGUGAGGUAAAAACGAGUUUAUUGGCCAUAUGUAUAGCUUAUGGCUUGUCUUGGGAGGAGUUGCGAAAUGUAGGAGAAACAUGGAAUUCAAGGAUGUGGAUGUUUCUUGAAAUAGUUCUUGACCACCUUACACAAAAGGGGCAAAUUAGCUUAAACGACCCUUGGGAGGUCAUAUUUAGAAAGGUUACCAUGCAUAUAACAUAGAAAUAGUUGUCUUAAGAGAAGAGAGGGAAAUGAGGAUAAUUGAAGGUUCCUUUAAACCAUUGAUGAAAACUGGACAGAUUCAUCACCCUAAUUCCAAAGAGAAUUCGGGCCUAAAAAUGAUAAAGUUUGGGAAAAUUUUCUUGAUUUAAGUUAUAGCCAAGGAUGUUAGCUUUCCAAUGCGCCGACCUUGAUUAAUUUGGAGCUCUAAAACUCUAGAUAUAGAUAAAUAUCUGAGGAGAGGUCAAGCUACAACCUCGGCUGGCAAUUUCAACAAGUUGUCAAAACGGGAAAUUUAGUCAUAUUAGAGGCAGAAUCAGGUUCCCUUCCCUCGGAAAAUGUGUAGUGCCAUGUCUUGGUGUUCGAAAGGAAAUAAGCCAUAUUUGAAACUGAAUUUUUUAUGUUAAUUAUGAUUUGAUAAUGAACCGUAAUCUUAAAGGAUGGAAUAGAAAAGCAAAUGAAAAGGAAGCAAUUGUUAAAAUGGAGUCAAUAUUGUUGUUGUUGUGUGAAAUGUAACUUGAGUAAGAAAUAAUGUGGUAUGCCUGUGGAUUUAGAAGGGACGGCGAGAGGGGCACAACAGCAGCAAGGGAGUGCGAGCCGAGCUUCUAUAGCAAAUAGAUGUCCUAUACCUAUACCCUUCUUAAAUAUUUGUAACCUUGGAAAUUUGUUUAAUUCUUGGAUUAUAUACGUAUUGAUGUUGCCAAAAAGAGAAUCGAUCAGAUGAAAUAAAUGAGAAAUGAAAACAGACUUGACUAAUUGGUUUGGUUAGGAAUAGUGAACUAUAUUAGUGAACUUCAUUGAUAAUCGCUUCUUGAAUCUAAUUAGCCGGUCCCGAGUAUGGGAGGCUAAUGAUGUUAGUAAGGUUUACUAACAUCGGCAUGACCAUCCCAGAGAAUGAGGGAUACUAAACUUGAUUAACUAUUCGGUUUAAGAAUAGUUAAUGAUAUCGAUGGGUGACGUCGAUAUCGAUAAUCCUAUAAAACUUGAUUAGCUAUUCCUGAUGUGAAAGCUAAUGAUGUCAAGAAUCCUUGACAUCGGCAUUCCCAAAUAUAUUCCAAAGUGUUAUGGAAAAUUGAUUAACUAUUUCGGGUUAGAAAUAGUUAAUGACAUCAAUAGGUGGCAUUGAUAUCGACAUUUACAACAAACUUGAUUAGUCAGUUCUGGUAAGGGCGACUAAUGAUACUAAUGAGAAUCAUUAGUGUCGGCAUUACCAUCCUAAAGUUUUGGAAAGAAGUGGUUUGAUUAGUAAUCUCGGUGGAGAUUGGCUGAUGAUGAUAUCAGUGAAAUGAGUAUCGCUAUUUUUUAAAGAAUUGUUCCUUCAGCAUUAACAUAUGAUAUUGGUUGAAAUUUGGGAGGAAAAGGGGAAAUGUUUAGUGAUCCCCGAAGGGAUAAAUCUAGAAGCAUUAAAAAGAGACUAGAUGGGAAAUUGUAAAGAAUAUUUAUGAUAGUACGUAGCCUUGAAUAUUAUAUAUUGCUUAUUCUGUUUAACAUACUUGUCUCAAGAAAUAAGCUGUUGCAUUUGUCUCUCCAAAGCUAUUAUUGAUUGAUUAAUUCCUGCUGCCACCACCAUCUUCACUACCAUUACUAUUAUGCAUCGAUCUUCUCCAACUUACUAAUGUUAUUAAAUUCUUUCCCAGUUGGCAGAAAAUCAGUGAUCCUAAAAGUAUUGCAGAGAUAUUCAAACAUGUUUACACAGAUCAUUAUACAAAUAUCGACAAAGUGUUUUCUCGUAUUCUUGAGAUUACACAACAUCCUGCUGCUGCUGCAUCAUUUGCCUCGAUUAUGUUUGCUCCUCAGGGACCGCUAUCCUUCAGGGUAACUUUAGCCAGGCAGGCACUGCAUAACUCUUAUCUGCUCUUGAUAAGUCGCUCAUAUUCUUUCCUUUUUCUUGCUCCAACUGAAAGGUGUGAAGCCAGCUAUGAAACCAGCUAGGCAAGCACUAAUUAGUGCAACUUGCGGCACUAAUUAGUAUCAAUUAUUGCAGCACUAAUUAGUAUCAAUUAUUGCAGCACUAAUUAAUGUCAAUUAGUGCCACUUGCCUUGCUCUUAUCUUUUGCAAGACAAAGGCAAGGAUGCUUGCCUAUAAAUAGGCAGUGCAUCCUUGCCAUAGUAUACACACCACAAGAGAGAAACAAGAGAGGAAGAGAAGAGUGAGAGAGGGAAAGUAAUCCCACAAAAUUGUGAGGUAUUUGUGAGAGAGUAAGUGAGGUGUUUUCUCCUAUUAAUAGAGAGAUUUCAGUUGUUCUCCUAUUAGUAGAGAGAGGUUGUAAUUCUCACAUUACUUAGUAAAAUCCUUCUAUACUUGCCCGUGGACGUAGCCAAAUUGGGUGAACCACGUAAAUUCUUGUGUGUCUAAUUUCUCAUUUUAUCCUAUCAUUUGUCUUUUAUCUUGUCGGGUUUGCAUGCCAGUAUUUCUAACAGUGGUAUCAGAGCCUUCUGGUUGGUGUUGUUAAUACACAAAAGUUAUUCGUGUAUACGGUUACUAUUCACGUCUACGGCACUAUUCACCUAUACGACACUAUUCAUCCAUACGGUACUGUUCACAUACGCUACUGUUGGCGUAUAUAGAAAGCCAGUGCGGUGAUUAAAUACAGUCUAGGAAGUUCUGUCUAAGGAGAUUGGGUUUUAAGCGGGACCGUUUGUGACCCCUCCAAUCUUUCCUGGGAACUUACUUAGUGAAGUAUUAUUCACACGAUACUAUUUCUAUAUACGUUACAGAUCUGUGAAACGGUGAUAGCUGAAUAGAUCUCGGUGAAUACAAUGGCAGCAAAGUACGAGAUAGAGAGGUUCAAGGGGAGCAAUUUCUCACUGUGGAAAAUGAGAAUCAAGGCAAUCUUAAGGAAAGACAAUUGCUUGGCAGCAAUUGGGGAUCGGCCCGCGGAGAUCACUGAUAAUGCAAAAUGGAAUGAAAUGGAUGGCAAUGCUAUUGCUAACAUACAUUUAGCAUUAGCCGAUGAAGUAUUAUCAAGUGUGGCGGAGAAGAAAACAGCUAAGGAGAUAUGGGAGACUCUAACAAAGCUAUAUGAGUCCAAGUCUUUGCACAAUAAGAUUUUCUUAAAGCGGAGACUUUAUACCCUUCGAAUGGCAGAAACCACGGCGGUGACUGACCACAUCAACACAAUAAGAACUCUAUUUUCACAACUCACUACGUUGGGUCAACAAAUAGAGGAAAGUGAACGUGCAGAGCUUCUACUUCAAAGUCUUCCAGAUUCGUAUGAUCAACUCAUUAUCAACUUGACCAAUAAUAUCCUCACAGACUAUUUAGUCUUUGAUGAUGUUGCAGCCGCCAUCUUGGAAGAAGAAAAUAGGCGCAAAAAUAAAGGAGACAGAAAUAGUUCAAACCAAGCAGAGGCAUUGUUGGUGUCAAGAGGGAGAUCAACGGAGCGUGGCUCCAGUGGGAGUCAAAGGCAGGGGAGGUCCAAAUCAAGAAGUAAGAAGACUGUGAAAUGCUACAACUGUGGCAGAAAAGGGCACUUCAAAAGGGAUUGUUGGUUUAAAAAGGGUGUAGAGAACACUGCAGAGUCAUCAAAACCUCAAGGAUGUGUUGCGAGCACCUCAGAAGAUGGGGAGGUUUUAUAUAGUGAAGCAGCGACAAUCUCUACAGAUAGAGAAGAGCUUACCGAGGUCUGGCUAAUGGAUUCAGGAGCAACAUGGCAUAUGACUCCUAAUCGAGAUUGGUUCCAAACAUAUGAACCCAUCUCUGGAGGCAAAGUGUUCAUGGGUGAUAAUCAUGCUGUAGAGAUUGCUGGCAUUGGCACCAUCAAAUUGAAGAUGUAUGAUGGCUUAAUUCGCACUAUUUCAGGAGUGCGACAUGUGAAAGACUUGAAGAAGAAUCUUUUGUCCGUAGGACAAUUUGAUAGUCUUGGCUGUAAGAUUCGAACAGACAAUGGAAUCAUGAAAAUUGUCAAAGGAGCGCUGGUAGUUUUAAAGGCGAGAAAGACAGUUGCAAACAUGUUUGUAUUAAUGGGAGAAACACAUCAUGGGGCAGAAGCGUCAAUCGCAUCAGCCAGUCCUGCAGAAGAGAAGACGAUGAUGUGGCAUCAAAAACUAGGCCACAUGUCAGAGAAAGGUUUGAAAGUUCUCUCUGAUCAGAAGUUACUCCCUGGGCUUACAAAGGUUACUUUACCCUUUUGUGAGCAUUGUGUUACAAGCAAACAGCACAGGUUGAAGUUUGGCACAUCAACAACUAAGAGCAAAUGCAUCUUAGACCUGAUUCACUCUGAUGUUUGGCAAGCACCGGUUGUAUCCUUGGGAGGAGCAAGAUACUUUGUAUCAUUCAUAGAUGCCUUCUCCAGGAGAUGUUGGGUGUAUCCAAUUAGAAGGAAGGCAGAUGUGUUCGCAAUCUUUAAAACUUUCAAAGCGCGGGUGGAACUUGAAUCUGAAAAGAAGAUCAAGUGUUUGAGGACUGACAAUGGAGGAGAAUAUACCAGUGAUGAAUUUGAUAACUUCUGUCAACAUGAAGGUAUCAAAAGGCAGUUCACAACGGCAUACACUCCACAACAAAAUGGAGUGGCAGAGCGGAUGAACAGAACUCUAUUAGAAAGAACAAGAGCAAUGUUUAAGACUGCAGGUCUAGGAAAGUCAUUCUGGGCAGAAGCAGUCAAUACCGCCUGUUAUGUGAUAAAUCGAUCUCCGUCAACUACAAUUGAGCUGAAGACACCGAUGGAGAUGUGGACUGGAAAACCAGCUGAUUAUUCUCGAUUGCAUAUAUUUGGAAGUCCUGUGUACGUGAUGUACAAUACACAAGAAGUUAGCAAGCUGGAUUCAAAAUCCAGAAAAUGUAUAUUCUUGGGAUAUGCUGAUGGGAGUGAAGGGGUAUCGCUUGUGGGAUCCCACUGCCCACAAGGUAGUCAUCAGCAGAGAUGUUAUAUUUGCAGAAGAUAAAAUGCAAAUGGAAGAAAAUAAUAGCAUUUUAAAGGAGACUACAGAAGUCCAGAUGGAAAAUACUCAGAAGCGUACUUCUUCUGAAGCUGCACCAGAGCAUGAAGAACAAGAACAAAUAGAGUCUGAAACUCCUGAAGUUCGACGGUCAACUCGUGAAAGAAGACCACCGGCUUGGCACUCAGAAUAUGUUACUGAGAGCAACAUUGCAUACUGUCUUCUAACUGAGGAUGGAGAGCCAUCAACUUUCCAUGAGGCUAUCAAAAGCACAGAUGUAUCUAUGUGGAUGACAACAAUGCAAGAGGAGAUUGAAGCUUUGCACAAGAAUAACACUUGGGAUCUUGUUCCGCUACCACAAGGAAGAAAGGCCAUUGGCAACAAAUGGGUUUACAAGAUAAAACGUGAUGGCAAUGAUCAAGUGGAGCGGUAUCGUGCAAGAUUGGUGGUGAAAGGGUAUGCACAGAAAGAAGGGAUAGACUUCAAUGAGAUAUUUUCUCCGGUGGUACGACUUACUACAAUCAGAGUAGUCUUGGCAAUGUGUGCUAUAUUUGAUCUUCACCUAGAGCAGUUAGAUGUGAAAACUGCAUUUCUUCAUGGAGAACUUGAAGAAGAAAUUUAUAUGCUCCAACCAGAGGGUUUUGCUGAAACAAGCAAGGAGAACUUGGUUUGCAGGUUGAACAAAUCUCUAUACGGUCUCAAACAGGCAUCGAGGUGUUGGUACAAGAGAUUUGAUUCCUUCAUAAUUAGCCUUGGGUACAACAGACUCAGUUCAGACCAUUGUACGUAUUACAAGAGGUUUGAAGAAGAAGAUGUUUUCAUCAUUUUGUUGUUGUACGUGGAUGACAUGUUGGUAAUAGGCCCCAACAAAGAUCAAGUCCAAGAAUUGAAGGCACAGUUGGCUAGGGAGUUUGAUAUGAAGGACUUGGGACCAGCAAACAAGAUUCUAGGGAUGCAAAUUCACCGAGACAGAAGUAAAAGGAAGAUUUGGCUUUCUCAGAAGAAUUAUUUGAAGAAGAUCUUGCGUCGUUUCAACAUGCAAGAUUGUAAGCCAAUUUCCACCCUAUUUCCUGUUAACUUCAAAUUAUCCUCAAGUAUGUCUCCUAGCAAUGAAGUAGAGGGGAUGGAGAUGUCUCGAGUACCGUAUGCAUCAGUAGUGGGAAGUUUAAUGUUUGCCAUGAUAUGUACAAGACCAGACAUUGCACAAGCAGUGGGAGCAGCUAGUCGAUACAUGGCAAAUCCUGGUAGAGAGCAUUGGAAUACUAUUAAGAGGAUCUUGAGAUAUAUCAAGGGUACCUCAGAUGCCGCAUUACGUUAUGGAGGGUCAGAAUUUACUGUCAAAGGUUAUGUUGAUUCAGAUUUUGCUGGCGACCUUGAGAAAAGAAAAUCCACUACAGGCUAUGUGUUCAUAAUUGCAGGAGGAGCUGUGAGCUGGGUCUCUAAACUUCAGACUGUUGUAGCUUUAUCCACAACAGAAGUUAAGUACAUGGCAGCUACACAAGCUUGUAAAGAAGCAAUAUGGAUGAAGAAACUUAUGGAGGAGCUCGGACACAAACAAGAGAAGAUUCUUUUGUAUUGUGAUAGUCAGAGUGCUUUGCAUAUUGCAAGGAAUCCAGCAUUUCAUUCAAGAACAAAACACAUAGAUGUUCAGUAUCACUUUGUUCGCGAAGUGGUGGAAGAUGGAAGUGUGGAUUUUCAGAAGGUUCACACAAAGGAAAACCCAGCAGAUGUUUUGACCAAACCAGUCAAUAUUGACAAGUAUAUAUGGUGCAGAUCCUCCUAUGGCCUAACUGAAACGUAAGCAGCAUGAAGAUGGCAAGUAUACAAAGGAUAGAAGAAUCACAAAUGAUCAAGUGUGAAGACUUGAUUAAAUCAUCAAAGUCUUCAAGUGGGAGAAUGUGAAGCCAGCUAUGAAACCAGCUAGGCAAGCACUAAUUAGUGCAACUUGCGGCACUAAUUAGUAUCAAUUAUUGCAGCACUAAUUAAUGUCAAUUAGUGCCACUUGCCUUGCUCUUAUCUUUUGCAAGACAAAGGCAAGGAUGCUUGCCUAUAAAUAGGCAGUGCAUCCUUGCCAUAGUAUACACACCACAAGAGAGAAACAAGAGAGGAAGAGAAGAGUGAGAGGGAAAGUAAUCCCACAAAAUUGUGAGGUAUUUGUGAGAGAGUAAGUGAGGUGUUUUCUCCUAUUAAUAGAGAGAUUUCAGUUGUUCUCCUAUUAGUAGAGAGAGGUUGUAAUUCCCACAUUACUUAGUAAAAUCCUUCUAUACUUGCCCGUGGACGUAGCCAAAUUGGGUGAACCACGUAAAUUCUUGUGUGUCUAAUUUCUCAUUUUAUCCUAUCAUUUGUCUUUUAUCUUGUCGGGUUUGCAUGCUAGUAUUUCUAACAAAAGGCUCGUAGCUUAUUUGUGUUUCUAGGUGUAAAAUGAGCAAUUUUCCCAUUUGUCUCAUGUAUGGAAAAGAGGACCCCUGGGUGAAGCCUGUCUGGGCCCUUCAGGUGAAACAGCAAGUGCCUGAAGCUCCGUAUUAUGAGGUUAGCCCAGCUGGUCACUGUCCUCAUGAUGAAGUUCCUGAGGUAUGCAGCUCAUUGCUUACUAGCUUAAUGGCACUUUCUGUUGCCCAUCCCGUAGUUCAUGCUGUGAAGAUGGUGUUCAGGCUUAUAUUUGUGUGCGUAAAGAAAAGCUUUUUUCUAGGCAUCUCUGGCACGAGCUGAGCUAGAGUAGACAACUGUCGGAAGACAUUAUGCGAUGAUGUUCUGGAAAUAAAUACGUUUAUCUGAUGGGAAGUAGAAAACUCGAACAGGGGAAGAAUAGUUGUUGAAAUUAACUUCAAUGUCCAUACUAAUCCAGUGGGGAUAAUUUACAAGAAUCUUGCUGUUAUGAAUCAAUUUGAUACUACAAGUAACAUUUACAUGUAUAGGUUAAUGUUCUUUUUUUAUGCAAGAAUCUUGCUGUUAUGAAUCAAUUUAAUACUACGUUUUCUAGGAUUAGUUAAUGCAAUAAAAUCCUUUCUGCAAGGGGAUAAUGAAAUCUUAAGGCAUCCUAGAUUAAUCAUCAAGUUUUCCAAGAAGUUUACUAUUUUCUUUUUCUACUUUAUUUAUUUAUUUUUGUUUUUUCAAGAACAUGGCUUCUCUAAUGGCCCCUUUUACAACGCAUGAAAUUGAAAAUGAACAACGGCAAGAGAUUUCGUCCCACUAAAAAAAAUGAAAAUUAAAUAAAAUAAGGAUUUUUAUAAAAUGGUAUUUCAAAAGAGAAUUUCUUGACAAGGUGUGUAUAAUUUAAAAUUUUAAUUAUUAAGAUUCAAACUUAAAGAAUUAAAAAAUCAUUUUUUUAUACAAAUUUUCUCAUCAAAACAUAACUUUCUUUAAUUGAAAUUUUUUUAAAUGCACAAAAACUAGUUUAAUAAUACACUAAUAAUGAAACCCAUAUAAAUAAAUAAAUAAACUAACAGGAUCAGUUAAACAUUGUAUAUUAUAUUUGCUUUUACUGUGGAUUCAAAUAGUGUAAUAAUAAUUUUAGCUUUCUAAAAAAAAUAAAAAAAGCUUGUAAUUAGUGUGAAAUUAUCUUUUUUUUAAAGGAUUAAUUGGACAUUACAAAGCUUGGGGAUAAAUUAGUUUAUAUUUUUUUUUUGCAUAAUAAAAUUACUUUAUUGUCUUUAAAAACAAAAAUUAAUGUAUGCCUUUGGUCCCAAGGUUUUUAUGUUUUUUAAAUAUUAUUUGCAUAGUAAAAUUAUGUUGAUACCUUAACAGCAAAGAACAAUUAAACUUUCAUAAAAAGAUGUUUUUGUCUUUCUAUUUUUAUGAACAUUUAAGUUACAUAAUUACCCUUAAAUUCAAACAAAUUGUUCCAACGGCAUUUCAUGUUUUCCUUUUUUUUUUUUUGUUAUUUUUGGCUCUGAGAUAAGGGUUUUUUUGGUAAUUUUUAAAAAUAUUGUAAUAUUAUUAUAAAAAAAAGUUGUUGAUGCAUGACAACUCCGUAACACGUGUGGAGCCGUUUGAUUACCAAAAUCAAUUGUUCACAAUGACAUUUGGAGUGACAUUUUGUUCUCUUCGCAAUAAAGAGUUACAUCUUCACAAUAGAGGUGUGGUUAGGCUCUAGUGAUUUUUUUUUCUCUCUCCUAACUUAGGAAUUCAUGUCAUUCCUUUCAAAAAUUAAUUGUGUCGUCCAAUUUUUAUUUCUAUUGAUUUUGAUCAUCAUUCUUUUUUAUUACUAUUUGUUUUUCUUUUAGUACUUUUUUUGUUUAAAUUGUUUUCAAUUUCAUUUCUAGGCAUUAUAUUUCAUUUGGUUUUUUUAUCCAAUUUGAUCAUCAUUUUUUUAAUUGCUUAUUUUUUCAUGCUUUACCUUUUUCAACUUCAUCCCUCGUCAUUUUAUUUCCUUUAGUUUUUUUAUCCAAUUUUGGUCCUUAUUUUUUUGAUUGAUAUUUUCUUAAUUUAUUUUUAAAAAACUAAUCCCUAAUUAUUUUCUUUCAUAUGGUUUUUACAUCAAAUUUGGUCUUUAUUGUUUUGAUUACUAUUUGUUUUGUUUUUAAUUUUUUUUUAUAAUUGGAAAUUUUACUUCGUAAUUUUUUCAUGUCUGCCUUUUGAUAGGGAAAUCUCAGUGUCAAGACUCGGUUCACUAGUUUUGAAUAUUAUCCUAGUUUAAGUUGGAUCUUUUUUUUUAGAUCCUUUACUAAUUACUUUUCAAUUUCAUCAUUCGAUAUUAGAUUAUUAGGUCUUGAGCUUUGUUAGUUGUUUCACUUUUCUUUUUGUUAGUUUAUCCUAAUUUUAUAUAUCAGGUAGUGAGUUAGUCGAGUUAACUUAGGUAGACUUAAAUUAUUUUCUCGAUGUUUUUUUAUGAAAUUAAAUUUUUUUGUUCAAUUUUAUUAUUUGGAAUUAAAUUAUUGACCAUUGAGCUUUGUGAUUUUUUUUUGUGGUGUCAUCCUGAGUUCGGGUUAGUCAAGUUAACCCAGGUUAACUUAAUUUUUUUUAUGUUUUUUUUUAGUUUUGAUUUUUUUGCUAGGUUCUUUUUUAAAAAAUUUAUUUUUUAUUCUGAUCUUAUGUCGCAGGUGGCAGGUUGAUCAAGUUAAUUCGUGUUGACUUGAGUGUUUUUUUAACGUUGCUUUUUAAAAAAAAAUAAUUUUUUUUUAAUUUCAUUAUUUGACAUUAUAUUAUUGAGCCUUAAAUUUUAUGAUUAUUUUAUUUUAUUUUUUUAUAAAAUUAUAUUAAUCUCAUAUCUUGAAUCACUUAUUAUUCAAGUUAAUUCAUGUUAAUCGAGUUGUCAUCUUCUAAAUAUUUUUUAUGUUAUGAAAAGACUAAUCUAGUCCACAGCAUAGCAUGUAUAAUCUAUCAAAUAAAAUAUCAAAUAAAAUAAGUAAGUAAGUAAAUAAGGGUACAACGUUAGUAGCAAUUUUUUUAAAGAAAAAAAAUUAUUUAGGGAUGAAGCCAGUAAAGCAGCACCUAUGGUCCAUAACGGUUGGUCCGUUGGUCAGCCAAGAUUACAGUGCAAUAAACAAGAUUACAAGACCGAAUACGUUUCCGUAACAUAACGGUCGGUCCGUUGGUCAACCAAAUCCAUCCAAUCGGACCAGAUGACGAGGUAGCUGUCUCAGACGUUCCGGUCUGUAAAACUUAAAGCAUCCUCAUCAAAACCACCACCACCACAACAACAACAACCAUCCUCAUCCUCAUCAUUGCCCCGAUCAAGAAAAACACGAGCAAAAUCGAGCUCAAAUUCGAAAUCGAGAUCAUGGUCUGUGUAUCUUAUUCUCUCUACCAACCACCCGAUCAAGACUUACGUUGGUGUCACCACCAAUUUCUCUCGCCGGUGCGUUUAUUUCCUUGAUUCAAUUCUUAUUUUCUGAAAUUCAAUGCAAAUGCUUAUCUGGGUCAAUUUCAAUUUGUCUCUUACAAAUUGAAGGGGUGACGAAUCAUUUCACGACUUGAAUAAGUAAAUAAAAUAGUUCUCUAAUCAUGUCUGCAAUGGCAAGUUUGAUAACAUGCUAGUUAAUUUGGUAAUUGCUGAUGCCUUUCAACCAGAUGUAUUGACUUUUGUAUUGAGCACGGUCUCCGAUUGCCUCACCUGUGAAUUUCACAAAUGUGUUGUGUUAUUCUUGCUCAAGUAUGUGCAAUAUAGAAAUGAACGAAUGCAUACUUGUUGAACUUGGCGCUUUUUAAUGCAGCUUGAAACAACAUAAUGGCAAGCUUAAAGGAGGUGCAAAAGCAUCCCGUGCAGGAAGGCCGUGGAUUUGUGCUUGCAUAAUUCGCGGUUUUAAUGACCGAAGUGAAGGUAAUUUUCUUCUUUGUACCACUUUCACAAAUGCCAAUGAGAGUUAUUUUCAUACUCCUGUUCUUGAUUUUUCUUCUUGAUGUUUUGAUUUUUGGCAUGAAUUUGUUUAAUCUAUUGAUUUUUCUUCCUUUUAUUUUCUAUUUUGUAGCUUGCAAGUUUGAAUCAAAAUGGAAAAGCUUUUCAAGGAAAUUUCCUCGAAAAAGGAUAGAUGAUGACCAGAUGAAGUAGAGCAGGAAGGACUCGCACCGACUCCUGCAACAUAGGAAGACUGCCCUCGACAGGGUUAAAGGUUCAUUUGAUCUUAGUCACUUAGAAAUUGACUGGAAAUUGAAUACUUUCUGAUUUUGAUAAUAUGCAAUCACGUUCGACACAUUUUAAGUUAUAUUGCAUUCUUUGAGCGACACUAUUGCAUUUCACUCCUACCAUGAUUUGAUCAUUGUAUAUUUACACUUGACACAAUUCAAUAUAUUCUUUUCAUUGUAUUCACAAUAUCUUCCUUCAAUGUGACUCCAAUUAAGCAGUAUUUCAAAGUAAUAUAACCAUUUAUAGUCCAAAUACUGACAAGGUUACCAUUGAGACUUCACAGCAUUUCAAAUUCAUGUGGUCUGCUAAUGUAACACAUUUGAGAUUAUCUAUCACCUUCCAUAAUCUGUAUGAAUGACUCGAUCCGGUUGCUAGCAAUCUGAAAAAUAAAUCUGCAUUGUUCCCUCUUUUGAAGAGUCAGAGGGAACUUCCAAGCAUAAGGAUCCAGAAAUUGGAGUAUGUCAGUGUGCAUGAAGUUAC